rnacentral:rRNA from 1 species
AUUGAACGCUGGCGGCAUGCUUUACACAUGCAAGUCGAACGGCAGCGCGGUCUUCGGCCUCGCUUCGAGUUGCGAACGGGUGAGUGAUUGAGCGAAACAUGCGCAUGUAUGUGUGCUAGGCGGGCGAAAGCCGGAUUAAUACCGCAAACGACCAGAGGAUGAAAGCGGGAAACCAGAAGGCCUCGCGCUAUUGGAGCAGCCGAUGUCGGAUUAGCUAGUUGGUGGGGUAAAGGCUUACCAAGGCGACGAUCCGUAGCUGGUCUGAGAGGACGACCAGCCACACUGGAACUGAGACACGGCCCAGACUCCUACGGGAGGCAGCAGUGGGGAAUUUUGGACAAUGGGGGCAAGCCUGAUCCAGCCAUGCCGCGUGGGGGAAGAAGGCCUUCGGGUUGUAAACCGCUUUUGUUCGGGAAGAAAAGCUGUAGGCUAAUACCCCGGUGGGAUGACGGUACCGAAAGAAUAAGCACCGGCUAACUACGUG